CUGAUAGGUUAAAAGGGGCCAAAAUGUAUGCAGUAAUACUAAAAAUAGUAUGACAUGUUGAGGGAGUUGUCUCACGCCUAGUUCUGUCAAAGGUUGUUUGAUCAGGCUGUUUCCGUCACCGCCCAUUUUGGGAAUGUACUGCGAGGCGAGGUUUCGCUUGCACAGAUGUGCUGGAAUGGAGUGCCUUUGUUGAGCCAGUCAUCAGUCUUGUAUAUAUGGUUAUCUGGUGAUACAAGAUUGUCAAUUAGAUAGUCUUUCUACUUGUGCUUUUCUGCACUUGCCAUGGUUGAGUAAGUUCAAGCAAGGAUCCCUUAUUAGUUCCUGUUGCACUCAUCUGCAUAUGAUAUGCUGGAUAGUGUUGUCGUUAAAUGAUAAACCAAAAUGUGUACGGUAAGUCUGAAAAUUGUAUGUUUUAUGGUAGAUCUCUCGCUUUGAUCUAAUGAAGUGAGCUGGGCAACCGGAAAAUAUCGGUUUUUCUAAUUCUGGGGUUACUGCAGUUUGAAAUAUCACAGGUCACUACCGUCAGAGGCAAAUUUUGGAAAGUGAUGCUGGGUAAGGUUUCGUUUGCAGAGGUUAGACCACGGUCUUUAAUUUUGCUUGUUCAUGUGUAAAUAUUCCUUUGUAAUUUAAAGAUGUGCUAGAGUGGAGCUCUUGCCUAUACAGUUAUCUGGUGCUAAAAGACAUUAUCAGAGGGUCUUUCUGAUUGAAAAGUAUGCAUCACCUAG